rnacentral:rRNA from 1 species
UACGUAGGGUGCAAGCGUUAAUCGGAAUUACUGGGCGUAAAGCGUGCGCAGGCGGUUUUGUAAGACAGUGGUGAAAUCCCCGGGCUCAACCUGGGAACUGCCAUUGUGACUGCAAAGCUAGAGUGCGGCAGAGGGGGAUGGAAUUCCGCGUGUAGCAGUGAAAUGCGUAGAUAUGCGGAGGAACACCGAUGGCGAAGGCAAUCCCCUGGACCUGUACUGACGCUCAUGCACGAAAGCGUGGGGAGCAAACAGG